rnacentral:rRNA from 1 species
UACGUAGGGGGCAAGCGUUAUCCGGAAUUACUGGGUGUAAAGGGAGCGUAGGCGGUAAGGCAAGUCUGAUGUGAAAGGCCGGGGCUCAACCCUGGGACUGCAUUGGAAACUGUUUAACUAGAGUGCAGGAGAGGUAAGUGGAAUUCCUAGUGUAGCGGUGAAAUGCGUAGAGAUUAGGAAGAACACCAGUGGCGAAGGCGACUUACUGGACUGUAACUGACGCUGAGGCAUGAGAGCAUGGGGAGCAAACAGG